GGCUAGGGGUCGAAUCGGAGCUAUGGCUGCCAGCCUACCCCAUAGCCACAGCAAUGCCAGAUCUGAGCCACGUCUGUGACCUACACCACAGCUCACGGAAACGCUGGAUCCUUAACCCACUGAGCAAGGCCAGGGAUUGAACCCACCACCUCAUGGUUCCCAGUUGGAUUCGUUUCCGCUGUGCCACAAUGGGAACUCCCCUCCCAGAGCUAUAUAAAAUUCUACAUGGCCUCUCAGCAGUCCCCUCACUUUUCCUUGGGCAAAGUGGCCCUAACAUUAAGCUCAAGUUCUCCCAUUCCUAUUCUGAACCAAGUAUUCUUCAUCAUCUUGUUAGCCCUCUAGUGCCUUCGGGGAAAUGAAAAAUUACGUUUUGUCCAGCUUCCCUAGAUCAGCAGGAGGAUUGAUUUCAUUUAUUCACCUCCCAUUUCCCUAACUCACUAUUGAGGACUUUUGGUAAAUUUUUUGUAGAAGUAUAACAUAUAUACAGAAAAAUGUAGAAAUCCCAAGUGUUCAGCUCAACAAAUUUUCACAAAAUGAGUAAGGAACAAAGCAGGAACAGGAUAUUGGAAGCUCCCUCAUGCCCUCAUCUAGUCAAUGAUGGAUCCCAGAGAUAACUACUAUUCAGACUUCUAACACCAUGGAUUAGUUUUGUGUGUAUGUGUGUGUGUUUUAACUUUAUGUAAGUGGUGUCACACAGUAUAUAUUCCUUUUUUUUUUCUUUUUAUGGCCACGCCUGCAGCAUAUGGAAGUUCCCAGGUUAGGGGGUCAAAUCGGAGCUGCAGCUACCGGCCUACACCACAGGCACAGAAACACCAGAUCUGAGGCACAUCUAUGAACUAUGCCACAGCUUGAGGCAAUGCCAGAUCCUUAACCUGUUGAGCAAGUCCAGGGAUCAAACCUGCAUUCUCGUGGAGACAAUACUGGGUCCUUAACCUGCUGAACCACAACAGGAUCUCUUAUAUAUUCUUUUGCAUAUUUUUUUCUCUAUCUCUCUCUGUAUAUAUAUAUACACACAUACACAUACAUAUAUAUGUAUGUAUAAAUAUAUAUAGCGCAUUGUCUGUGAGAUUAAUAUGCAUUUGUGUUGUGUAUAACAUCAUCAGUCAUGCAAAUUUUUAGUGUGAAUUCAAAAUUAAGAUUUGGACCCUGGAGUGUGUGAACUCAGCAAGGUAAAUGCUGCUUUGUGGGGGUCUGUCUGAGAAACCAAGUGGUCUUUCUCCAGAGACAGAUCUGUUCAUCUCAUUGAUCUUAGUUGGCGUUGCACCUUGAAUGUAUUGUGCAUUAAAUAUAUGCUUCAGAAAUAACCAGUGGUGACAUUUUGGCAAAUAGCACUUCAGAAAAUCCCCUAUGCAUGUACAAAUCUUUCUUAAAAGCUGGUAUUUCCAAGAAAAUGAGCAGGGGCAAUAAAUAUUUGAACUCGCUCUAUGCCUCAUUUCAUGAAAUCUGCUCUGGGUCUAAGAAAGAUGAUGGAUAUUAGUAGCUAAAUGGAGGGGUAGUGAGGAGAUGGGCUGUUUCCCUAUAUUCUAGAAGAAGGCAAAGAUAUAUAAAUGGAGACAGUUGUUCCAGGAAAAGAUAGAUCCCUUCCUUGGAAAUUAGAGAAAGGCAAAUUUCAAAAAACUGGAAAUGCUUAUCUUUUGGUUUCUAGGAUUGGCAAAGUCUGGUAUGCUGGGGGGUGGGGAAGGAGAGAGGUGGGCACACUCUUGCAUCACUGCUGAUAGGAGGGAAACUUGGGCAUCAUGGCUCAUUGGUGACGUGUAUCUCAGGUGAUCAAGAAUUGUGGGGAGGCGUUCUUUUUAGUCUGGCCAUCAGCUUCCCGUUGAUCUUAGGGACAUGUGUUUGUAGCCAAAUGAAGAAGGAAGAAACAUAUCUAUGUGCAGGUUGGUGUGAGAGUGAGCAUUGCCUGGGAAGUCUGGGGUCACAGUGGAAUCAGGUGGGAGAGAACUGAAGGAGCAGAGUCAGCUUUCCCUGCAUUCUCAGGCUAAGCAUCAGCUCGUUUUAUUUUACUAAAUGGUGCAUGGGGUUGGGGGAGAGCUUAUGCUAGGAUCCAGGAGUGAGAGGUGGGCAUCCUUUGGCACUUGAAUCAGUAAAAUGUAGGAACUGUGUGGCCUAACUAAUGCCCAGCACUAAAUGUUCACAGAACCUUAACUGUUGGUUUGCUUGUCUGUCUGUAGGGGGCGACACAAACCAAAAGAAACGAAGAGGAUCUUUAGCAGACACAAAGGAGCGGUCCUGCACGGAAAUGUGGGGCCUGAACCGGUCACACGGUGGCGAUAGAGGCAAGCACGAAACCAGACCCGACUAUGACCACUGUCUUCAGAAAAAACGUUACUUAAUCCCCAUUAUUUUUAGCUCUGAGGAAGCAGUGUCUCUGGAGCAGAAACGACCCGUAGAACAGAAAAAUGGGCAUUUGAAGCGAUGCCAAGAGAGUCACUGGGGUGCAGAGAAGUGGAAAAGGUGGGCAUUUAUUGGGCAUUUAUUGGAGGACGGAUGGGGUGAUGAAAGGGUCUGUAAGGCAGGAUGGAGGAUAUGCCUAAGACCUAAAAGGAGAUAUUUGAAACCCAGAUUUCUCACUCUGGAGAGAGGGAAUUUACAUGCUAGUACAUCUACUAAUCUCCAUUCUCUCUUGUGUGUCUACCUGUAGACAUAAAUCUAGGCAAAGGAGGAAGGAACUUCCUCCACACAGCGUGAUAUCCUGGAGACAGGAUGGGGAGAGGGAUGUUGGAGUCAGAAUGCAGGGUCUAGAGGCACCUUGGCUUUCCUCUCCCAGACUUUGUUCUCCUCUCCUCUUAUUUGGGUGCUGGAAAAGUCAAAUGCUAUCAAGGGAGGUAAUUUCAGAGGUGAAACAUUUGAAAAUUAAGACCAUACAUCAAGAAAGAGAUUACCCUUAUAUCAUGAGUGUUGACAUGUAUGUCUACAGAGACUCAUAUUAAAGCUCAUAUUAAAGUUCUUGUUGUGGUACAGUGGAAAUGAAUCUGACUAGUAUCCAUGAGGGUGUGGAUUUGAGCCCUGGCCUCGCUCAGUGGGUCAGAAAUCCAGUGUUGCUGUGGCUGUGGUGUAGGCCUGCAGCUGUAGCUCUGAUUCAAUCCCUAGCCUGGGAAAUUCCAUAUGCCACAGAUGUGGCCUUAAAAAAAAAAAAAAAGCUCUAUGUAUUUGCAUUGCCCCCAAUACCAUAUCACAAAACACUUAGUACAGAUUGUGUCCAGGAAAAUAAUGUCCAACAACCCACUAUCUAGAACACCAUGAUUAGAUGAUGUUUUAAAGAGUGAGAAUCUCCUCCGACAUGUUACGCAGAAGGGAGAUGCUCAAAUUUGUGGUUUAGUGAAAGCAAUUGUGUAGGUUAGGGCUAGAAUCUGCUACAAUGUUCACUCACUAAUCGGAGGACGAUGCAACCACAGUAAGAAACCACCAGACUGUAGAAAACUUCAGAUAUGUAAGAACAAGUAAGGGCUCUAGAAUAUGCUUAAAGAAAGAUGUAAGAAAAGCCAAGUCAUGGGAAUGAGGCUAACAUGAGCCUUAGGUAGUAAGCUCUACCUCUUUGAGAGCAAAGAGAAAAGAGUCCAAAUGAAGAAAAUGAUGACUAUUUUGGUGGUGCUUAAGUUAUUAAAAAUUUCAGUUCUAUCAACUAUAAGAAAAAAGAGGGGGAAAUAAAACACUGAAAAAAAAUUUCAGUUGUGUUCUUGGCCUCUCCGAGUGCCCUUUCAUUCAGGGAGAAAUGUUCUUGGGUCAGCCCAAGAAUGCUGGUUUUCCAUUUAGCUGGGAUCUCAGUAGUCAACUGGCCAGCCUCUCCCUUGCUGGAAACAUAAUCCCUAUUCCUGACUCUGCCAUUGAGGAGGGGAAGGCUCUCUGGGCCGCAGAUAACCUUUGGAACGCCAGUGUUGAAAAUCAGGGCCAGAUGAAGAUGUACAUCCAUGAAGUGUGUCGGGAGACUGUGUCACUCUGCUGCAACUCAUUCCUGCAGCAGGCCGGAUUCCAUGUGUUAGUAAGCAUGGCAGUUAUUAAUAACAUGCUGGCCAAGUCCAUUUCAGACUCGAAGUUUCCUUUGCUAUCUGGGGGAAGUGAAUGUGCUGAGGGGCAGGUUUUGAAACCCUUGAUGGGUUUGUCUGAAAAGCCAGUCUUGGUGGGGGAGUGGCUGGGUUCCCAAAUGCUGCCCUCUUUCCUGUCCCUCUCGAUCAGGAACACGCACAGACAGCUUCUCCCGGACACCCUGGCCUCCUAAGUGACCCUCUCCACCAGGAUGGGACUGAUCCACCCCAAACCAAAAUCCGAUCGGUGAUCGCGCACUUGUGUUCUCAUUCAGAGACUCUGCAGUGGGUGCUGUUAAAGAUCCAGCCUUAGCCGAUCACCACAUGUCUGGGUGAAAGUCACACUUGCCGAAUCCAGGACCACACUCUUGUUGGCCAGGCAGGGUUCCCACAGAGCUUGCAGGAAGCUCUUGGUCGUGCAGUCCACAGGCAGUGUGCGUUGUAAAUUGCUCCCUUACAGCCUUCUUCCUGGGGGAAAGGGCUCAUUUCAGCUGCCAGCCGUGGUUAAAGAACAGGGUACUCUAGCCUCACAAGGGAUGGCUUGCCUGUGCUGGUCUCCCCGUCUAAGCCGGACCGGACCGAGUGAUGGAGGCCAGACGUCUAUGGGAGCUUGUGCUGAAAAUGCAUUGGUUGCUGCUGCUUAGGGUGAAUUCUUGUUCAUUUACUCUCUUCUUCCCGAGCCCAUGGGUGGUAAACUCUGCUCACCCAGAACAUUCCCCUCCCCUUGUACGUGCCCUACUGACUGAACCUCACCCACCAAGUCUGCGUUGGUAUGUAUCAUCAAUAAACGUGUGUGCUUUGAUGG
rnacentral:lncRNA from 1 species